AUGUCCACAUGUGUACUACCUGACGAGCUGGUGGUAGACAUCCUGUCUCGACUGCCGCUAAAGUCCUUGUGCCGCAUCAAAUGUGUCUGCAAGUCUUGGCUUGCCUUCUCAUCUCAUCCAUACUAUCGGCAAAAGCUCCCAAGAACUCCCGCUGGCCUCUUGUACCGGAAAUUUGAGCGUGGCAGAGUUACCUCCCCUCUUGGCAGUGCUAUCCAUCUCACCAGACUGCCCUCAGGUGACAAGAAAAUUGACACAACACUUAGCUUUGUGCCAUGUUAUAAGUACCCAAUACAGCUUCGAGGUUGCUGCAAUGGCCUACUUCUUUGUUAUCUGAAAAUUAGAAGUGAAGAAAUUUCCAAUGCUAUUGUGUGCAAUCCAGCAACUCAAGAGUGGAUGGCACUUCCAGAUACUGAACAUGGCCCGGCCCGCUCCAAUAAUGCAUUUGAGUUGUGUUUCGAUCCAUUAUGGUCGGAACACUUCUAUGUCUUCAAAUUCCAGUCUAUCGAGGUCAUGAGCUGUAUCAACACGGAAGUUAAGGUAUGUUUCUCUAAGGACUCCACAUGGUCUAGCUGUCUUUGGAAAACUAGAGAUCCAUUUGAAGGUUAUUCUCUCUUUGUAAAUGGGGUGUUGUAUCUGAAGCACUUCAUCUUGAAUAAAAUCCUGGCACUAGACGCACCUGACACAUGUACACAAGGGCUCAACCAUAGGUUAAUUCAGCUGCCAGGAUAUCCAGAUAGGACCGACAUAUUUUGCGGUUAUAACGGCCGUCUUAGCCACUCCUCAGGCGUCUUGUGCUAUGCGAAACAAGAAUUGGAUGGCUGUGCGAUACAGAUUUGGAGUUUGGAAGGCCCCGACAGGUGGGUAGUGAAGCAUCGUCUAAGUAUGGUCGAUGUAUUUGGGAGGGACAUGUUACUCCGCACCCACAGUGAUGGAUAUUGGCAUUUCGAUUAUGACAUCAGGACUGUUAACCUGGAGAGGGAGCUGGUUAUCCUUGAUGACGAAAUUGCUGAUAAGAUCAUCUCGGUUAGCAUCAGCACUGGAAAAGGCUCACAGUUUCAAAAGAUUCCAAGAAGAUUCACUAAACUAUAUCACAGUCUAUUGUAUGUGCCGUACUAUGGCAAGGUUCCAGCUUUGGCCCGUUAA
rnacentral:rRNA from 1 species